GAUGAACGCUGGCGGCGUGCCUAAUACAUGCAAGUCGAGCGAACGGACGAGAAGCUUGCUUCUCUGAUGUUAGCGGCGGACGGGUGAGUAACACGUGGAUAACCUACCUAUAAGACUGGGAUAACUUCGGGAAACCGGAGCUAAUACCGGAUAAUAUUUUGAACCGCAUGGUUCAAAAGUGAAAGACGGUCUUGCUGUCACUUAUAGAUGGAUCCGCGCUGCAUUAGCUAGUUGGUAAGGUAACGGCUUACCAAGGCAACGAUGCAUAGCCGACCUGAGAGGGGGAUCGGCCGCACGGGAGCUGAGACGCGGUCCAGGCUCCUACGGGAGGCAGCAGUAGGGAAUCGGCCGCAAUGGGCGAAAGCCUGACGGAGCAACGCCGCGUGAGUGAUGAAGGUCUUCGGAUCGUAAAACUCUGUUAUUAGGGGAGAACAGAUGUGUAAGUAGCUGUGCACAUCGUGACGGUACCUAAUCAGAAAGCCACGGCUAACUACGUG
rnacentral:rRNA from 1 species